GUGAGCACUAGAAAAAGCUGAAAAACUUUUGCAUUGCAUCGAAAAGUAUUGUUUGCCGAUGGAUGCCUGGCGAGGAGGUGUUGAAAACGCAAAAGAGCUUAUGAAACAUACAACAGAUGUGCGCUUUUGUGUUCGCCUUUUUCCUUUAAAUUGAGUCAACAUUUUAUAUGUUUAAGACAUUAAACGGAUUAAGAAGU